UAGCGUAAGGGGAAGUCACUUUUUCAUGCAUCAUAAAUAUCUUGUGGUGUGAGAGUGCGCGGAUGAAAUGCAAUAAACUCUGAAAUGAUUCUGAAAUGAUUUUGGCAACCAACAUCUGAGAUGCUGUGUGAUGUGAUUGGUCCGCUGGUUAGUCCAGUUAUCCAAUCACAUCAUCCGUUGUGCAUCAAGGGAUUUAUUCAGUAAAUGUGUUUUCACAUUUAAGAAUUUAUGCACAACUUGGCGCUUCCAUUCAGCUUGUGAUAAACUCAGAUUCAUAUAGGCUAAAACAGGUGGAUGGCUAUUGUCAAAGUAACAAGCAUUCCUGUGACCACAACUAUUGAGAGAAGCUCAUUUUGAUAGACUAACUGCUUUUGUUGGUGUUUACUUUUCAGUACCUUCAACUGUCAGAAACCUAAAACAAUCAGAAUUCACGGAGAGCACAGUCAUAGCCUCGUGGGAAAAGCCUGAGGGAGGACAUUCAGGAUACCGCUAUUGUCUUCUUGAAGUCAAUACCACCGACCAGUGUACUAACUGCAGCAUCAGUGGCAGUACAUGCAAUGAUAUAAAGGCAACAAACAUCACAGAAAGUGAUAAAAAUACCCGGCAGCAUGUUUUGUGUGUGUGUGGCAGCGCUAACAAAGAGCAACACUCUGUCAGGAGAAAUGGUUGGAAUCCCAGCAUACACACGCCCAAAAUUAGUGGACCUCACUUUAGUACCUUUCCUUAAAGAAAUGCAAGCCACCUGGGAAAUAAAUGGGAAUUAUGAAAAAUUUGAAGUGACAAUUACAAGUGCUGAUGCAAAGGAUAUACAGUCAUAUAAUACUACAAACAAGGAUUACACUUUCAAUAAUCUGAAGGCAGGAGUGUUUUACACUGUUUCAGUUGUCACUCUUAAUGGUAAACUGAGAAGUGUUCCUGCUAAUAAGUCAGAUUACACCCGGCCUGCUAAACCUACCUGGGUAAAGGCCACCGCUAUCAAAAAAACAUACAGCUAA
rnacentral:lncRNA from 1 species